GUCAGAAAGACUAUUCUACUGUAGUGGGAAAUAUCCGGCCAAGUCAUCCUCCUGCAACAUUCCAAGGAUUAGAUGGCUGCCCAACCCUUGGUUUACUCAUUGACACUGGCUAUAUUAACUCCAGCUUUGGAUGUCUGUCCAUUUUAUGUUCUCCUCCACAGUAGGCUCAUACAGGACCUCUACUCAGAGUAAUCUAUAUUUGAUUUCUGAUUUUUUUUAAAUCAGAAAAUAAUUGUAAAAGAUGGAGCUACUGAGGACUGCACUUCUUGUUGUGUUUAUCACAACAGCAUUCACAAAACCGUUUGGCAGGCCUGGACACCAUAAUGGCCAUAAAGCAUCAAAUCCAUUGGAAUGGUUGAAAUGGUACGAGCGGGGUCACUCUUCUGAGGAUGUCUUCAGACACAGCAAGGGAAGAGGCCCGGGAUCACCAAAGUUCUUUGAUUCUUCAGUGUCAAUGGAGUCUUCCUCAGAAUCUUCAGAAUCCAACCAGUCCUCAGAAUCUGAUGCAUCAAGUUCAGAGGAGAUCUUCCCUGAGAGGACGACACCUGGACCAAUUGCUCCAGCCACAGUGAACCCACCCACUGCUGCCAGGUCAACUAUCCCACCGGUGAUAGAAAUGUCCACAAAUGGGCUAGUCAUCAAUGAAACGACACCUUCACCAGGGGACGUUACUGCAUGUGUCACUGAGGACAUUCUAACUCCAGCUCCGCCAACUCCCGCUCCAGCAACUCCCCCUCCAGUCACAGAGAGCAGAGGAGACCGUCUUUAAAUGUUUAUAAAUACUAGUCAGAAUUCAAGCUAUAUUUUUCCAGUUUAUCAUUAUUUGUUGUAUGGAAAAUGUACUUGAAUGUAUUUACAGUUUUGAAUGGAUUUAGAGCUUUUGUUGUCAGCUUCAGAAUAGUAUUAUAGGUACAUUCCCAAAUGGAAAAGAGUAAUGAAAAACAAAUAAGAAUCUUGUAUGGCAUAAGAAUAUUUUUUUUAUACAAAAAUCUAAUGAGUAUCUGGUAAGAUUUUGUAUGUUUUGCCUUAUGUCAGUAGUGUAUUUGAAUAUGUCUUGACUUAUAUGACUACUAUGACAUACACAAUUGUGGUGGAUUUUCCACAUCAGGGGUCUCUAACCUAUUCCAGCAUGAGAGCAUUCUUUUAACUUUCAAAUAGGCACAUUCUUCUCUUUUCCUUCAAUCUUGCAAGUCUUCCCUAGGUCCUUGCUGUACAACAUGUUUUCUCUCAAUAUACUUGGUAAAAUGAUGGUUAAUAAACAACUCUAAGGGGGCCCCCCUAAAAUGCUA